rnacentral:tRNA from 1 species
UUGGGGAUAGCUCAGUUGGUAGAGUAUGAGACUCUUAAUCUCAGGGUCAGGGGUUUGAGCCCCACGUUGGGCUAAA